UACGGAGGGAGCUAGCGUUGUUCGGAAUCACUGGGCGUAAAGCGCACGUAGGCGGCUUUGCAAGCUAGAGGUGAAAGCCCGGGGCUCAACUCCGGAACUGCCUUUAAGACUGCAUCGCUUGAAUCCGGGAGAGGUGAGUGGAAUUCCGAGUGUAGAGGUGAAAUUCGUAGAUAUUCGGAAGAACACCAGUGGCGAAGGCGGCUCACUGGACCGGUAUUGACGCUGAGGUGCGAAAGCGUGGGGAGCAAACAGG
rnacentral:rRNA from 1 species